GGGUCUGUAGCUCAGUUGGUUAGAGCACCGGCCUUUUAAGCCGGGUGUCGUGGGUUCGAAUCCCACCGGACCCACCA
rnacentral:tRNA from 2 species